rnacentral:tRNA from 2 species
GCCGAAGUGGUGGAAUUGGUAGACACGCCAUCUUGAGGGGGUGGUGAGCCUAGCUCGUGCCGGUUCGAGUCCGGCCUUCGGCACCA